CCCAAGUGCUGGGAUUACAGGUGUGAGCCACUGUGCAUGGCCAAACCCACUUUAAUUAGGUCACUGAAGGUCAAGGUGACCCCAGCAAGUUGCAGAAGACUUGGAGAGAGUCCGAGAGGGUGACGGGUUGGCUGACAGGCUGUGCCUCAUGGUGAUCUGAGGUCAGUUCAGAGAAUCCCCGCUGUGGGUUUUUAUGUCUGACUGAUGCAGUGCAGUCAGCUGAGGAUGGCAGUGAAUGUGCAGAACUUAUCUUCCUGUCUUUCUGAGGACAAAGUUACUUUAAAAAAUCAUCCCGCCCAAUUCUAUCUUCCAGCAAUGCUUGACAUAGAAUAAGGCCUCAAUAAUUUUUUUUCUUGAGUGAAUGAAGGUAUUGCCUAUGUCUUAUAGAUGAGGCAGCUGAGGCUAAGUGACUUGGAUAAGCCAUCUUGCUGGUUCUGUGAGGUCUCCUGAUGUAAAAAGUCUCAUUAGUUAAGAAAACUAUCAUCUAAGACUCCCUUGGCCAGUAACUUCCUUUUAUGCAAAGAAUAAAGGUCAAUUUAAAAUUAAGCCUAAAUGAAAUGGAAUUCAGAUGUUCAGGGUGAAGUCCUAGGGGGAGGCACUGAGGAAAUGACAGCUGUCUGGGGGCUGGUGGCAGGGAUCGAAGCUCUGCAGCACCAGUGGGUGGCAGGGACCUAAGUUUUGCAGUGCCAGUUGGUGGCAGAGAUUUAAGCUUAGAAGCGCAGUCGGUGGCAGGGAUCGAAGCUUUGCAGUGCCAGUCGGUGGCAGGAAUCUAAGCUUCACAGUGCCAGUCGGUGGCAGGGAUCUAAGCUUUGCAGCACAGUUGGUGGCAGGGAUCGAAGCUCUGCCACACCAGGCGGUGGCAGGGAUUGAAGUUCUGCAGUGCCAGUUGAGGCAGGGAUCUAAGCUCUGUGGCACCAGUUGAUGGCAGGGAUCAAAGCUCUGCAGUGCCAGUCAGUGGCAGGGAUCUAAGCUUUGCAGCACCAGGCGGUGGCAGGGAUCUAAGCUCUGCAGUGCCAGUCGGUGGCAGAGAUCAAAGCUCUGCAGUGCCAGUCAAUGGCAGGGAUCUAAGCUCUGUGGUGCCAGUCGGUGGCAGGGAUCUAAGCUCUGCAGUGCUAGUCAGUGGCAGGGAUCUAAGCUCUGCAGUGCCAGUCAGUGGCAGGGAUCUAAGCUCUGCAGUGCCAGUCGGUGGCAGGGAUCAAAGCUCUGCAGUGCCAGUCGGUGGCAGGGAUCUAAGCUCUGUGGUGCCAGUCGGUGGCAGAGAUCUAAGUUCUGCAGCGCCCAUGGCCCAUUGGUUCAUCCUGGCCGAGCCUCCAACAAACAGCCCUGUGCAGCUUCUUUGCUUCGAGCAUUUGUCGAUUUGUCAAUUCCUGUUGCCAGUUCCUGUAGUAUAAACACUCGUGAUUUGAUGCUGCCAACCCAAAGUCACCGAAUGCAGAGUUGGGAAGAAAUGUGCCACCAUGGCUCUUGGUAGCUGGUGUGACCAGCUCAGCGGUCUCCAGUUACUGGUGUCCCCACAAUUCCCUCUUGUCUUGCUACCAGCACUUGAAUUUGCAGCCCUAGAAAUGUGAGCACCAAGCAAGGAGAAAAUCAACAACCCCAGCUGGCUCCACAUCCAGCAUUCCGGGUUAGAGAACUGUCUACAAGAGGAAACUGAAACUCCUCAUAGAGCUACACUCUGCGUUUCCCGAGGUUGCCUAGUUACUAAGCUGCAGAUCUGGGGUUUGAAGGCGGGCUUUCUGGCGGAGGCUUUCUCACUCCAAGGUUUGGGUAUGUCUUUAUCAGCAGCGUGAAAAUGGACUAAUACACCCUCUCUCUACCAGCGGGUAUAGUCUGAUGAGGUCUAUGCGGCAGCAUAGGGUGGCAGCCAUGGAAGAAUGCUGUUUAAAUGUCCCUUCAAGAGGGAGUCGCCAGAAGGAGAAUAAUUCACCACAGCCUCUGUCCUCAGGGGCCUUCAGAAGGCACCUGGUCAGUGUCCAAGCACAGCCAAGGUGCAGGGUGGCUGCUGGGACUCCAUGCGAGGCUCCUCUAUAGACAACCUCUGUGGCAGCACUUCCUGCUUGGCUGCCUGAGAAUUCCCAGGGCUUCCUGCAGUCAGGCACUUCCUGCCCUGUUUUCCCUCCUUCGCAUCCUCCUUUCCCAGGGACCAGACCUGCACUGCAUCCUGAAGCUCAGCCUUCCUACUCCUGCUCCAUAUUUUCUUUAUCCUUCACAACUGCAGUCCUCAAUUAAUCUCUGGUGCAUUUAACUCUGUCUGCUUCCUGAAGAUGCUCAUGGAUUCUGAGGAUUCCCCACGUGCUGUGAUGUGACAGUCAGGGGCAAGGGAGGAAAACAGCCAGCUCCACUACCUGUCUACCCUCCCUCCCAACCAUUGAGAAAGUUUCCCAUUAGGGGUUCAUUCCUUUGGACCAUGAAGCUUUUUGAUUCCUAUUAACCUUGAGUUAAUUUUCUGAGUUUUUUGUUUGUAAAAUAUUACAUAUAUACUAAUGAACAUCAGAUAUAUAAAUGGGUUGUAUGAAUAAUUGUAAAGCAAACUGUGUACCAGCAAGUGAAACCAUCAUAACACACAGCCCCAGAAGCAUCCACAAUCCAUGAAUAAUAACCCCCUCCCCAUGAGGUGCCUAAGUAAGGAAAGAAGACGGGGAGAGGAGCUGCCAGGGGAAGGACCAAGGAGGUACUCUGUGGCUCAGGCCCCUGGCUCUGCCUGGCCUCUCCUUGUUGGCACAGAUCAGCCUGAGGGCCACGCCGCACACCACGGGCCCAUGACCCUCCAUCAGAGUCACUGGGCGCUGGCUGAACAAGCACCUCAAAUGAGCUCUGGAUUACAACACAGCUAUGAAAAGAAGCUAGCCGGUGCUCUUCCUACCCAUAUGGAGAGAUUUCCAGGGCAGAUUUCAAAGUGGAAAAGUCAGAGGCAAUACAGGAGGGCCUGUGUGCCCAGCUCCCACUGUGAAAACCAACCCAGCUGAUGGGGAUUCCUCUCUAUUGCUUUCUAGGUUGUCGCUGCCCUCAACCUCCAGAUGCAGCCCCCUGCCACCUUCAGGACCCCUGGCUGUCCCUUUGACUCAGUAGCGAAAGGGUUUCUGUGCUCGGAGGGAGUCCUUCAGGAAUCUGUGCAUAGAAUGCCAUAGUACAGAGGAAAGUAAGACUACGCAGUCGUAUUCUACUUAAGACCUCCAUAAGGAUACAUAGGGAAGCGACAAAACCUGCAGGGAGCAGGGAAGGAAGAGGGAUGGGGCUGCAAGCCAGGGGAUGCCUGCGGUCACCAGGAGACAGGGGAGGCAGGGAGGAUCCUUUCCCAGAGCCUCUGGAAGGAGCGCGGCCCUGCCCAUACCUUGAUUUGGAUUUCUGGCCUCUGGAACCGUGAGAGAACAACUGACUGCUGUGGAAAGUGACUGAAGUUUGUGGCAAUUUGUGACAGCAGCUCCAGAAAAUGGAACAGCUACUAAGUGAGACUCCUCAGCCAGGCCAGAGAACGUGCAUUCUGACGGACAGCUUCUCAUUUGCACCGAUCACCGUGAGUGCCUGAUGGGUGGGCAUCUGGCACCCAGAGAAAGAGUUGUUCUAUAAUCCUUGCACUGCUAGAAAUGAGUGCUUCUUACCAAGAUGAAAUCCACCCAUCGUUCACGAAUGGCUCAGUUUUGAUUUCAUCUUCCAAGGUCUUCUUUCUGAAACCAGCCCAACUUUUCUCCCAGAGAGUAUCAUGGAACUGAACUUUCAAGAUCACGGCAUCUGGACAUCGAGACAACAGAACCCUCAUCCGGCCACCUGCUGCUUGCUGACCAAUUCCCAUAUAAACCGCUAACUUCAGUCAGUUGGAGAGACGGAUUUGAGAUUUGCCUUCUGUCUCACAGCUGAUGUCACCAGCAAUAAAGCUUUCUUCCCUGACAAUA